rnacentral:rRNA from 1 species
ACACGUGGGUAACCUGCCUUAUAGUGGGGGAUAGCCUUUCGAAAGGAAGAUUAAUACCGCAUAAGAUUGUAGUAUCGCAUGAUAUAGCAAUUAAAAGGAGCAAUUCGCUAUAAGAUGGACCCGCGUCGCAUUAGCUAGUUGGUGAGGUAAUGGCUCACCAAGGCGACGAUGCGUAGCCGACCUGAGAGGGUGAUCGGCCACAUUGGGACUGAGACACGGCCCAGACUCCUACGGGAGGCAGCAUG